GACUGGGCUUGCCUUGAGUCCAGUAGAGUCCAGCAGAGCCAGAGGCUGCUAAGGCAGGAUACAAGGUGUGGCCAUGCUCUUGAGGAGACCAGAAGGCAGAGGAAAGAAUCACCGUCACAGUCAGUAUAAUUGACUCUUCUCACCAUGAGAGGCUGGAGGUGUUGCUCCAUAAUGGGGGCAGUGAGAAUCAAUGGAGAACAGUGUGGCCUCUGGGCUACCAUCUACCACCGGGCGUGAAUCCCCAUCCUACAUAAUAACACUUCACACCUAUUAAGAUGGAUAUUAUAGAAAAAGAAAAAACC